AGGAGCCGUGUGAGAUGAAAGUCUCAUGCACAGUUUUGACUGAGAGAAAGAAGUGAGAAAUCAUCUUUUUGAACAUUUUGCCCUUCAUUAAAAUCUUUGCUUUAGACAAAAUUGUCUUUCACUAUUUU
rnacentral:ncRNA from 1 species